rnacentral:rRNA from 1 species
UACACACCGCCCGUCACACCAUGGGAGUUGGUUUUACCCGAAGGCGGUGCGCUAACCAGCAAUGGAGGCAGCCGACCACGGUAGGGUCAGCGACUGGGGUG